AUAUCUACGCGGUUGCUUUUCGUAAAGAGAAUGACAUCGUGGCGGUUUCGGGAGACUGCAGGUUGUCAUUUCCCCAACCUGCAGCGGCAAAACAUGUGCAGUAAAAAACAUCAGGUGCCACGAUUCCAUGUCGGAGAAGGUUGUCCGGUUUUCAAUAGCCUGUACGGACUAUCGACCGAUGGUUCAAUGGCACUGGCUGCUUGCACUGGCAGCAGGUCUUCAAAACUGUAAACUAGGCAGAAUAGAAUGCGUUGAGUUCCUGCCCCCGACUUUUUUACACGGGUAUAGAUGUGCACCGUCUUCUAACCGGUGAUUAAGUUGCAGUGUGGAGCCAUUCUAUCGCGGCCAAAGAUCGGAAAAAACAAGAUCAUCUCUGGACUUAAUUUUGGGACACAGCUAUUCACUUUUUGCAGUGCUCGUAGCUGUUAUGAACUCUCCACUUGACUUUCCCUAGUAAAAUAUCACUGAUUAUGAAAGGCGGAACUUCUCAAUGAAGACAGGCUUCCCACGGUUCCCCGCCUUCCCCAUCAAUAAUUAAAGGCUGAAGCAACAAGCAAGGUUUCAAGCAACUGCUUUCAGGCUACCGAAUUGCAUUAAAAGAACGCAGUGCAGAAUUUAAUUGAAUGCCGAACGAUAGUCUAAAGUUAUCCGGAGGGACGCAACGUUUCAAUUCUUUGAAUUGUGAUUCGUUAACCUGGUUUUUAGGCUAAAACCACUGAAUGUAUAUUUAGCAACUUUCAACGAAGGAGCUAAACUCAACAGAGUGACUCAUUCGUUAACAGCAAAAAUGAUUUUCCACGUCAUCAAUUGAUUUAAAGAAAAAAAGCAGAAAAAAGACUGUGCAACUCAAAUAUGUAGUUUUUUUUUUCAUUUUGAACUUCUGGAUUGGUUGAAAACUAUAUAAUCUCGCAAUCGAGAACACAUCUAGAUUCAACAGAUUCUGCCCUGACUUAAGCGACACAUUAGUAUGAUGAAAACUCCUGAUGUAAUCAUAAAAAUUCCAUACAGUAAAUUAUUUUAAUGUUUGUAUAGAAAAUAGUUAAAUUUUUGUAG